UAGGGAAUCUUCCGCAAUGGACGAAAGUCUGACGGAGCAACGCCGCGUGAGUGAUGAAGGUUUUCGGAUCGUAAAGCUCUGUUGUUAGGGAAGAACAAGUGCGAGAGUAACUGCUCGCACCUUGACGGUACCUAACCAGAAAGCCACGGCUAACUACGUGCCAGCAGCCGCGGUAAUACGUAGGUGGCAAGCGUUGUCCGGAAUUAUUGGGCGUAAAGGGCUCGCAGGCGGUUUCUUAAGUCUGAUGUGAAAGCCCCCGGCUCAACCGGGGAGGGUCAUUGGAAACUGGGAAACUUGAGUGCAUAAGAGGAGAGUGGAAUUCCACGUGUAGCGGUGAAAUGCGUAGAGAUGUGGAGGAACACCAGUGGCGAAGGCGACUCUCUGGUCUGUAACCGACGCUGAGGAGCGAAAGCGUGGGGAGCGAACA
rnacentral:rRNA from 1 species